rnacentral:tRNA from 1 species
AUCUAAAUAGCUUAAAUUUUAGAGUAUAACAUUGAAGAUGUUAGGGUAAUUGUUUUAAUUUUUAGAUA